UAGAUCAAAAGUGUUGUUCCUACGGAUGUGGGUGUAGAACUAGAUGUGUAGAUCCAGUAGGAAAAAUUAAAGUUGACGUCUGCUCCCAACCAAAAGUUGUCGGUCGCUGCCGAGCUGCGUUCAGACGAUGAUGGUACAAUAAAAGAAAUAAACAGCUGUGAGCUCUUCAUUUAUGGCGGAUGCCGAGGAAACAAAAAUAACUUUCGGACAGAGGGGGAAUGUCGGGACCGAUGUUUGAUGAUUCUUUGAACUUUGCCCUAUCGAAUAACAACUGGCUUUAGAACUGGAACGACUACCUGAUGUAGCAAGGAUACGUAUUUUAAAUUUCAUUGUGUUGUUGAUUUUUUUAUCAAACUUUAAAUAAAUCAAUGCUUGG